ACCCGUUUCUGUUUGUUCUGACGACCUCAUUGAAAAACAGCCGCCUCCUCCAUUAAUUCCGGUUGAAAAUCACCGAAAAAUGCCCCAAAACUAUUCUAUGAUGCGGCUGUUUUGGUGGAAACCACAACCGGAUUCCGCUAUUCCUAAAAGGGGUUAAAUCAUUUUUUAUUCGGUUUUGUUGGUCGAGGUCGGGUCAAGGUAUUUCGAUCGGAGCUCUAAUCAAAUAUUUCGACGGAUUGAAAUAAAAGUAAUAUCGAGGUCCAAUUCUAUCUUCUCUCGCUUUAAUUUUUAUGUUAUCGUGAAUGAUUUGUGUGUUUGGUAUGUUUGAAUCUUGAUUGUGUAUUGGUUGAUAUUGGAUUUGAAUGUUGAAAAGUGAGUUGAUAAUUGAAGCAUGUGUUAAUCAUCGAUCGAUAAGAAUGAAGUUGGGGGUGGGAAUUGCAAAAAUCAAUAAAAAGUGAUUAUAGUCAUAUUUUGAUUCAUUGUUGAUGUUUAACGUGAUAGUAUCAUGCUUUAAGUCGAAACGGGUAGGCAAACGUAGGUUGGGUAGGCAAAGUUUAGAAUUUGUCAUUUUGUUGAAUGUUUGAAAUUUUGUUGAAUGGUUUGAUUUUAUCGCAUUGAAAAGAUGUAUUCAUUUAGUCGGGGAAUGCCCCAAGGUACAUUGUAUUUAUUCAUCGGGGAAUGCCCCAACGUAUUAUGUUGGCAGAAGACGUUCGUGAUGAACGUCCAAGGCAUCAGGUAAAGCAUAGGAGAGUAAUUAGGUUAGUGUAGGUUAGAAUAUGAUUUCUUUUCUCGCACUCUUUAUUUGGGAUUGUAUAAUUAGAAUGAACACUAUAUUUUGAAUGUGUUCUGUUUUGUGCGUUUGAUUAAUUGUUUUAUGUGUAUUUUGUGUGUUUUAUACAUUUGUAAUGUCAAAUUAGUCGAUAUGCUCCACCGAGCGACCGUGGUCGAACCACGGGAUCGAAGGAUGCCUAACACCUUCCCCUCGGUCAACUGAAUUCCUUAACUAAAAUCUCUGUUCGCGGAUCAGUUUUAGAGUCAAACCGUUUUGAUAAGGAUCUCCAAAGGUGACUUGGCAUACCCGAUUUAUGCAAAGUGGCGACUCUGAGUUUUGAAUUUAAUUAUAAAAGAUCCUUUUUCGAAAUAAUUUUCACCUUUUGUCACAUAACAAUAAAAACCCUUUCGAACCUUAAAAUUUAAUCUUUUCGGGUUGAAAAAGGGAUGUGACAGCUUUGACGACUCUGUUAGGGACCCUUUUCAGAAUUCGAGCUUAUUUUUGGAGUUAUAUCGGCUUAGUUUUGACAUUAUGAGUGUAUAGACAUUGUUUGUGUUAUUGUUUGUAUCUGUUUAUCAUUGUUGAGUGCUUACGUGUUUACAGUUUUUUUCUUAUGUGCUACCACUUUAUAUUUGACAUCAUUUGCAUAAUCCGAGUCAAUUCUUUUUGCAAUAAGUUAUGUAGUACACGCUGUGUACACGACCUAUAGUUGAGUCACCCUUAUUUUUAGAAGGGGGAGCCGUUGGCUGGUAUGGAGUGGGUGGAAAGCUAGUGCAGCCACUAUUGACCAUACUCUCCCCCGAACAGCCUUGUUAGUGAACCCCAACGUAGGUUAGCCUUUAGGUCAUGCUUAUCUGCAUCAUAUUGAGACCUAGCGGGACUCACUUGGUCCUUUGUAGGAGACUCACCUCUAAAGCAUUUCUACGUGCUAAAUGUUGCAUAUUUGAGGGUAGCAGGGUCAUUUGACAGACUGAUUUGAGCAAAAGCAUGCGUUAGAAGCAAAGUGUGUAGGCAAGAAAUUGUUGAAAAGAAGAGUGAAAAAAAAGAAAAAAAAGAGAGUUUCGUAAUUUUUUAGAGAUCUUUAUGACUUUUAUUUCUCACAAUACAAAAUUUGAAAAAGAUUUUUCUACUUUUUUUCAUGCAUUUACUCAAAAAAACGAAACAAAAACAUUAAAAAUAUUUUCUUUUGAUUCCUUUAGCAUGCAUUAAUAAUUCAAAAUUUUCAAAAAAUAUUUUUUUAAUAGGAGUUUUUUUUAUAAAAGAAGAAUUAAAAAAAAUGGUAGAAGUUUUUUACAUUUCAUAUAGCGAAAAUAUCAAAAAGAUUUUUUUUUCUUUCGUAGUUGUUGGUGUCAGUCUUAUGUGAAGUGUCAAAUGAGAAAAACUCAAAAGAAAAAAAAUUAAUUAACGAUGUUCAUUGUUUGUCUUUGGUCGUAUCUCUCAAGUCAGGGUCUAGUUUGUUAUUCAAUCAUUAGUUGUUCAAUCUGGACGAACUACGCACCCCUGAUUCUCGUCUUUUGGGAGUAAGAUACGUAGGCAGCCUAUUGUUGGUUCGGAGAUCUUAUUUGAAAAAAAAAAAAAAAAGAUUUUCAUCAAUUUUUUUGUCAAUUUGUUAUUUUUGAAGUUUCUGGAAAAAAAAAAAGGAAAAAGAAUUAAUUGGUCAUUUUGGCAAGACUUCACGAACUACGCACACCUGAUCUCCUCUUUCGGGGGUGAGAUACGUAGGCUCCCUUCUUGGGUUUUGUGACCUUUUAAAAAAAAAAAAGAUUUGAAAAAAAAUGUUGAAUUCUAACGCAUUUGCUAUCUCUUGUUCAGUUAGUUUAAGGUUGUUUGUUUGUGGCAUUUUGGCUGGUCCUCCAUAUUGCACCAAGUCACAGAGAAAGUUAUGACCAACAAGGAUAUCGAGUUUGUUGUCACUGAUCAGAUAGGGGUUCGGACAAUGAGAAUUUAGGAGCUAAUGAAGA
rnacentral:lncRNA from 1 species